CAAACAUCGGUUUUUUUUCGAGCAAUCAUCGUAUAAAUUUGGUGUUGGCUGGCGUCGUGAAAGACAUGGAGAACAUGGUGGAGAAACAUCGAUGCAAACAUCUCUAAAAUCAACGCAUGUACGAAAUGGUGUACAAGGAGAAUGCAGUGAUAACGCGAGCAGCUGAGCAUUGCCGUCUCGCUCGCACGCGUGCGGUGCGUGUGUACGUGAGAAAGCGCACAGCAAAGGCAACAGCGAAAAAUUCCGGUUGUGAAAAAGGGAGAAAGAAAAAAGCGUUUGUUACAACCAGGGGCGUUAGAAAAGGGUUGUGCCAAUGUAGACAAAUAAAUAGCAAAACGGUAGAUUGCAUAUAUUGUUAAAUCCCCUGAAUAUAAAAUCGUAAUACGCCACUGUUUAUAACAGAAGCAGAAGUUCGCUGCCGGCAGGGUUGCCACCUGACUGCAACUUUAAAUGAAUGCGAAUUAAGCAAUACAUAUGAUUUGCAAAUAAUAAGCGCAACAAUUAUAACACGCUCUUUUGUUGAUAUUCUUUGUUUGCACUGCGACUGAUAAAGAUAAAGCUGAAAACGUGCCGCGCAGCUGUUGCGGCUUCUCAUAUC
rnacentral:sRNA from 1 species